UGCCCCUGCUCUGCCAGAAUGGGGGGUGUGGCAUCAGGAGGACCGUGUCUCUGCCCCGCCAGCUUCAACCGGCAAGUUCUGCCAAUCCAGCCGGCCCCAGGCCCCGGCCCCAGGCAGGAGGUCGACAGCCCAGGAGGGCGCAGACCCUCACCAAAAUCCGUCUACAACCCUGCCCCUUCACCAACACCCAGCAGGAGCGGGAUGGUGCCUGUCCAUGGUGACGUCCACGUGCAGCACCCCCCCGAGGCCUCGUGAUCAUACCAUCAGUGGAGCGGGUGAGCGACGCCCAGCACCCCAGGGGAGCCGCCUGCACACGCCCUCCAGCCGCUCGCCCGGCCCUCUACAUGUCCCUGGCCCAGAGCAGGCCCUGGGCCAGCGGGUACGAUGAGGACGCCGGCUAUGGGUACUGCUUCCGGCAGCUCGCACACUGGAAGAGUGAAGUGCACCCCUACACGGCCUGCGGACCCAGGACAUCUGCUGCCGUGGUUCUGGCGUGGCCUGGGGUGUCCACGAGUGUCUGCCCUGCGCACCCA